GGUGCUAGUUUAGUUCGUUAUUUAUUUUCUGAAGAAAAUAUCUCCUCUUCUAUUUCUUUUUAUUUUUCAAAAUUAAAAACACCAGUAAAGAUUCAAGCUUUUGAUGAAAUCUUGAUAGGAAACAAACACAUAGGCUCUAAAUUUCAUCUGGUGUCUUAUUCCUCUUGCAAGGAAAAAACAAAUACACAUAUUAUUUCAUUUGAGUAUAAAUGCUCCAGCAGCUGCCAUCAGUAUCUCCUACUACAUGGAAUCCAUCUCCAAAGGGUCUUUACUUAGGAAUCAUGGAGUUCAAAAUGCCUAAGUGGUCAACUCUAAGUUCAGAAACGCUUCGACUGAAGUUUGGGCUGCAGCAGCAUCAGAAAGGUGUACCUCAAAUUUCCAGCACGAUCAAGUGUGCUGGUCAAAGAUCCAGACAAUAUCGAAAUCUCAAUAAACAAGAAGCUCUUCCACAGAAUGUAGAUCUUCCACCCAUACUACCAAAGAAGAAAAAGAAGCCUUAUCCCAUUCCUUUAAAGUUGAUCCAGAGGGCUGCAAGGACGGAAAAAAAACUUGCAGAAAAGGGUAUUGAGAAACCUCUUGAACCUCCAAAAAAUGGGAUACUUGUCCCUGAUCUUGUUCCUGUAGCAUAUGGGAUACUGGAUGCUUGGAAAAUUUUGAUAAAGGGAGUUACUCAACUCUUACAUGUUAUUCCUGUAUAUUGCUGCAGUGAAUGCUCAGAAGUUCAUGUGGCUCAUGCCGGUCAUGCCAUCCCGAACUGUGUUGGUCCAACUAGUGCAAAGCGACGUGGCUUGCACUCAUGGAUCAAGGCUUCGACUAAUGAUGUUCUUGUCCCAGUUGAGUCUUAUCACCUAUAUGACCCUUUUGGCCAUCGCAUCAAGCAUGAAACUCGGUUCAACUAUGACAGAAUUCCAGCUGUUGUUGAACUCUGUAUCCAAGCUGGCGUGGAUAUACCUGAGUACCCUUCUCGCCGAAGAAUGAAGCCAGUCAGAAUGAUUGGAAAAAAAGUGAUAGACAGAGGUGGAUUUGUUGAAGAGCCGACACCAUGGCGUAUUGGAAACCCAACUAUUUCUAUUGACUUCGAUACAUAUAGGGCUUGUGACCGAUUUCCACCUCCUCCAUUAGAAGAUAUACCGAGGAUUGCACAAGAGACCAUUGAUGCAUAUGAACGUGUUAGAUGGGGUGUCAGGAAGUUAAUGAGGAAAUACACUGUGAAGGCAUGUGGGUAUUGCUCAGAGGUUCACGUAGGACCUUGGGGUCACAAUGCGAAGCUCUGCGGGGAAUUCAAGCACCAGUGGAGGGACGGAAAACACGGUUGGCAGGAUGCUACCGUUGAGGAAGUUUUUCCACUUAAUUAUGCAUGGCAUGUUAGAGACCCAAAAGGCCCUCCCUUGAAGGGUAUCCUGAAAAAGUUUUAUGGAAAGGCUCCUGCUGUGGUUGAAAUGUGUAUGCAAGCAGGGGUAGAGAUCCCUGAAAAGUACAAGCCUAUGAUGAGGCUUGAUAUAAUAGUACCUGAAACUGAUGAAGCAACUUUAGUUGCAUGAAAAGGAUCUGUGGACUGGCAAUGGUAAAUGCACCACAUCUCUGCUGAAUGAUCGGACGCUUAUAUAGUCUGCUACAAUGACAAGGGGUGCAAUAAGAAAGUUCUACAUUUGUUAUAUAUUUGGAGAAUGCAAGAAUUUUCUAUUCCUCUAUAAGUUGUCUGGCUGUGUCUGGUGCGGAUGAGGCAUAUUAUGACCUACAAAUAUAUAUAGUAGAAAUUUAUGAGGAAUGCCAAAGUAAUCCCACUGGUUAAAGUUUUAUGCGGUAAAGCUUUUUACAUAAAGGUUACCAUUGUUUAAUUUGUUAUAUUUUGAUAACUUUACUUUUAUUUGUACAUCAAUAUGAGAUUACUGUAGUAAUUUAGGUCCAAAAUUGAUUGUGGCAAGACAUGUUGGAUAACAGCACAAAUUGUUGUUGCCACAAGCAAUUUUUUUACAUGAAUUGCUAUAGUCACCUCCCAUUCGUGUGAAAAUGAAAGUUCAGUUAUCAAAAUAUAACAAAUAAAAUGAUGGUAAUCAUUCUGGCAUAUAGUUCAAUAACCGUGGAAUUUUUUACUCGAUCAUAUUUCUUGAGUGCCUGCCGGCAAAGAGUCGCCGUCCGCAACUGCACUCGGAGUCUCUCUAUCAUAAUCAUUAUCUUUGUUUGUUUGUAGUUCAUGUUAGGAAAAUGAAAUUUGAACAUCUAACUAUCUCUAUCAUAAGACAGAUUAUCAACUGCUAAUUGAGUAUUGAAUAAAAGUUAGUAUUUGUUUAUCUGUGUUGAUUAACAUGCAA